rnacentral:rRNA from 1 species
GCUGAAAUAACAACACAACACAAACAUCCAUUAAACAUUAAACAAACCAUUUGACCCACUAAGUAGAUGCGAUCGAACAGCAACAACUAACCACAAAGUACCGCAAGGGAAACCAUUAAGCAACAAACAGCAAAGAUAAGCCCUUGUACCUUUCGCAUCAUGGUUUAGCAAGAUAUCACGGACAAGAAGAAUCACAGCCCACACCCCCGAAACCAGAUGAGCUACUUCCGAGCAGCCUACCGGGCUAACCCGUCUCUGUAGCAAAAGAGUGGGAAGACUUAAAAGUAGAGGUGAAACGCCUACCGAACCUGGAGAUAGCUGGCUACCCAAAAAAGAAUCUAAGUUCUACUUUAGACCAAAAAAUAAUAACUUAUAGACUAAAGAUAAUCAAUAGGGGUACAGCUCUAUUGACACAGGAUUCAACCUGAAUUUGAGAGGAAAACAUUAACUCACACCUCCAGUAGGCCUUUAAGCAGCCACCUAACAAAAUAUCGUUAAAGAAUUUACUAAAACAAUAAACACUCUGAUAAAAAACUCCAAACAAACUAAAGGUAAACUCAUUCAUAUGAAUAAUACUAUGCUAAAACUAAUAAUAAGACACCCCCUCUAACAACGCCCCCAUCCACUAGAAACGGAUAAACCACUAGUAAUCAACAGACCACAACAGGUUAAACCGACUAAUCAAUACACACCCCCAUACAAACUGUGACACCAACACAGGAGCGUUAUAAAGAAAGAUAAAAUAUUAUAAAAGGAACUCGGCAACCAAAGACUCCAACUGUUUAACAAAAACAUAACCUUUAGCCAGAACAAAUAUUAAAGGCAACGCCUGCCCAGUGAACAAUUAAACGGCCGCGGUACCCUAACCGUGCAAAGGUAGCGUAAUCACCUGUCUAUUAAUUGUAGACCCGUAUGAAAGGCAAAAUGAGAGUCUGCCUGUCUCUUAUAAUAAAUCAAUUAAACUGAUCUCCUAGUAAAAAAGCUAGAAUACCAACAUAAGACCAGAAGACCCUGUGAAGCUUAAACUAAACUAUUAAACCCUAUAAUACCUACUUUCGGUUGGGGCGACCUUGGAAAAAAAAAGAACUUCCAAACACAUGACCAUAACUCAUUCAUCAGGCCAACAAGCCUAACACGACCCAGUACAACUGACAACUGAAACAAGUUACUCCAGGGAUAACAGCGCUAUCUUCUUCAAGAGUCCAUAUCAAAAAGAAGGUUUACGACCUCGAUGUUGGAUCAGGACAUCCUAAUGGUGCAGCCGCUAUUAAGGGUUCGUUUGUUCAACGAUUAACAGUCCUACGUGAUCUGAGUUCAGACCGGAGCAAUCCAGGUCGGUUUCUAUCUAUGACAUGCCAUACCCAGUACGAAAGGACCGAUAAGGCAAAGCCAAUACUCAAAGCACGCUUUUAAAAUCAUAAAAAAUCAACACAUUAAGACAAACCCUUUAAACCAAGAUAAGGUUAAUUAAGGACUACCCUUA